GGAGCAGAUGACGAUAAAACAGACAGGGACAUCUGUACCUGUUAAAACAGGGUUGAUGACUGGUCUUGGGAAUCUCUCUGAUGCUUC
rnacentral:snoRNA from 1 species